UACGGGGGGGGUAAGCGUUGUUCGGAAUUACUGGGCGUAAAGGGCUCGUAGGCGGCCAACUAAGUCAUACGUGAAAUCCCUCAGCUUAACUGGGGAACUGCGUGUGAUACUGGAUGGCUUGGAUUUGGGAGAGGGAUGCGGAAUUCCAGGUGUAGCGGUGAAAUGCGUAGAUAUCUGGAGGAACACCGGUGGCGAAGGCGGCGUUCUGGACUGCAACUGACACUGAGAGACGAAAGCCAGGGGAGCAAACGGG
rnacentral:rRNA from 1 species